CACUUUACAUCUUUUUAUUUAUUUUUCUUUUCUUAAAGGGAUGAUGCCCACUUGAAGAAGAUCCUCCUACUACAUUCACCAUCUUAUUAUGGAGCUGGUGAUCCUUUUCAAAAGUUUGUAACAGCCCCAACAGACCGUGGUAGUUGACUGCAGGCUUCAUCAUUCUAAAAUGAUCGAGAAACAAUAGGUAGGACUUGGGCAGGG
rnacentral:lncRNA from 1 species